UACGUAGGGGGCAAGCGUUGUCCGGAAUCAUUGGGCGUAAAGCGCGUGUAGGCGGCUCAGUAAGUCCGCUCUGAAAGCCCGGGGCUCAACCCCGGGAGGCGGGUGGAUACUGUUGAGCUUGAGUACAGAUGAGGUAGGCGGAAUUGAUGGUGUAGCGGUGAAAUGCAUAGAUACCAUCAAGAACACCGAUUGCGAAGGCAGCUUACUAAGCUGUAACUGACGCUGAUGCACGAAAGCGUGGGGAUCGAACAGG
rnacentral:rRNA from 1 species